rnacentral:rRNA from 1 species
AUAUACAAGUCCCGGCUAAUCUCGUGCCAGCAGCCGCGGUAAUACGAGAGGGGCAAGCGUUAUUCAAAAUGAUUGGGCGUAAAGCGCACGUAGAUGGAUAUGGGUGGACACUCCUAUGCACAUAUCAUAUGUGUCCAUAGAGUCCAUCGACCCGUAUCUCGAGGACGUUAGAGGAACAUGGAAUUCCCCAGGAAGCGGUAGAAUGUGUUGAUCUGGGGAGGAACACCAAAAGCAAAGGCAGUGUUCUAGGACGUACCUGACAUUGAGGUGCGAAGGCGUGGGGAUCAAAAGGGAUUAGAUACCCCUGUAGUCCACGCUGUCAACGAUGACCAUUCCCCAUGUUUUCCAAUGGUGAAGGCGUGGGUUAGCUAACGCGGUAAAUGGUCCGCCUGAGGAGUACGAUCGCAAGAUUAAAACUCAAAGGAAUAGACGGGGGCUCACACAAGUGGUGGAACAUGUGGUUUAAUUCGAUACUACGCGCAUAACCUUACCAGUUCUUGACAUGAAACAGUGUUUCACAGGUGUUGCAUGGCUGUCGUCAGCUCGUGUGGUGACAUGUUGGAUUAAUUUCCCGAACGAGCGAAACCCAUCCCUUGUGCAUAUACUCUCAAGGGACCGCCAGUGAUAGACUGGAGGCAGGAAUGGAUGACGUCAAGUCCUCAUGACCCUUAUGAACUGGGCUACACACGUGUUACAAUGGUGUAUACAAUAAGUUGCUAUGACGAAAGUCGGCGCCAACCUCCAACGUACAUCUCAGUUCGGAUUGAUGUCUGCAACUCGACAUCAUAAAGAUGGAAUCACUAGUAAUCGUGGAUCAGCACGCCACGGUGAAUACGUACCUGAGCCUUGUACUCCCCGCCCGUCACACUCCGGGAGUACUGUGUAGUGGAAGUAUCCUUAUCCUAGUCCAUGAUAUGUGCUGAGCACUCUAUACACAUGGAAUAGAACAAUAAAGGUCCCAGACCACAUAGCACAACUGGAGUGAAGUCGUAACAAGGUAACCGUAGGGGAACCUGCGGUUGGAUUGACUCUUUUUAUUG